ensembl:lncRNA
AUUUUUGGUUGUCAAUUUUUGAAACAUCCUCAGAGAAAGAACAUUCCUACAAUCUUGUAAAGGGGGUAUGUAUAUUUAGCAUAUGUUGCUGAACCAACCAAGUUUUGAAUAAUUCUCUUUCUCCAAUGACUCCAUAAGAUGCAGUAUCAGUGCCAUUUUUGCUAAUACUGUAUUCAUGCAUGCAGCUUGCUGUUUGUAGGGUUUAUGAGUAACACAAAAGUGACUGUCCAGAGACCUCAGCCAGGUUGUGGCUGUUCUUCUCAGAGAUGUGCCAGAAGAAAGAAUAGCCUCUCUGUCUGGUCUUCCUAGCUCUUUUAAAGAAAAUUGCACAUAAAGUGGAAAGAAGACAAAUUGGAGAAUGGCACUUCUCAGAGCAACAACUGAAAUGAAGGCCUUGAUUCACAAAACAGAACUUCUUCCCAGCUUCAUCCAACAGCACAGUGGUGCCAGUACUUUGACUGGAGGAGAGGUAUGACAUGUAUCUCUAAGAACAGAACCAUCAAAAAUUCCAUAAGAGCAAACUGGCCUCGGAGAAAAUUAGAAGAAUCACUUCUCAUGAACCAUAUCUCUCCAUGAAGCUAGAGAAGCCUUACUGUUUAAAGGACCUGAAAAGUGACUUCAAGUGGCUCAUUCCAAGAACAGGAGAAAAGGUGCUGUUUCAUCAGACUUCUGAAAGGAUCUACAACACUAUGUGGAUUUCCAUGUUUAACACUUAAAAACAAAUUUGUUGAAUAAACAUUGAAUCAAUAAUUCAUCAACUUGAAAAAAGUUUCUCAUGUACUUGAAAUUGAACAUCCCAUGAUGUGCCUGCGUGAUCAACAACUGUUCUGGAUUCAGUCCAUGAAUCCAAAGGUGAGUUCUAUGCUCUGGGUCAUCUUGGAAUGCGUCAUUCUGGGAGUACCAGCACACACAGGAGGAGGACCAACAUUUUAGGAUUGCAGUAAAUCAUGUUGUUUUCUCCAGAAUCUGGAACAACAUGUUGAGACUGAAGAGUCAUGAGAAUUGCCCACAGCUUAUCCCAGUCUCAGAUCUCUUUAGACUGACCAUGUAAAUAACCUGAACCUGAAGAUGCACAAGUCCAUGAGACCCAACAACAUCUACCCAUGUGUUCUGAGGGAACUGGAAGAUGAAAUUACCAAGUUGCUAUCCAUCAUAUUUGAAAGAUCACAGCAGUCCGGUGAAGUUCCCACUGACUGGAAAAGCGGAAACAUAACCCCCAUUUUCAAUAAAGGAAAAAAAGAAGAUCCAGGGAGCUACAGGCCAGUCAGUCUUACCUCUGUGCGUGAAAAGAUCAUGGAGCAGAUUCUCCUGAAGGCCCUACUAAGACAUAUGGAAGAUGAGGUGAUUGGUGUUAACAAGCAUUGCUUCACCAAGGGCAAGUCACACCUGACAAAAUUGGUGACCUUUUAUGGUGGUGUUACAGCAUCAGUGGAUACAGGAAGAGCAACUGUUGUCACUUACCUGGACCUGAGCAAAGCUUUUGACACUGUUCCUCAUGACAUCCUGACGACCAAAUUGGAGAAAAAUGGAUUACAUGGAUGGAGCACUUGCUGGCUAAGGAAUUGACUGGGUGGCUGCACUCAGUUGUGGUCAACAGUUCAAUGCCCAAGUGCAGACCAGUGACAAGUGGCAUUCCUCAGGGACCAGUGCUGGGAAAGGUGCUAUUUAGCAUCUUUGUAGGUGACAUGGACAGUGGGAUUGAGUGUACCCUUAGCAGGUUUGCUGUCAACACCAAGCUGAGUAGUGCAGCUGACAUGCUAGAGGGAAGGGAUGCUAUUCAGAGGAACCUGGACAGGCUUGAGAGGUGGGCCCAUGCCAACCUCAUGAAGGUCAACAAGGCCAAGUGCAAGGUCUUGCACCUGGGUUGGGGCAAUCCCAAGCACAAAUGCAGAUUGGGUGGAGAAGCAGCCCUGAGAAGGAUUUAGGGGUGUCAGCUGAUGAAAGACUCAACAUGAGUUGGUUGCAGCCCAGAAGGCCAGCUGUAUCCUGAGUUGCAUCAAGAGAAAUGUGACUAUCAGGUCGAGGGAGGUCAUUCUGCUCCUCUACAUUUGUGAGAACCCACUUGGAGCAGAGCAUCAAGUUCUGGGCCACCAGCACAAGAAAGACUUAGAGCUGCUGGAGUGGGUACAGAAAAAGGCCAUGAAGGUGAUCAGAGGACUGGAAUACCUCCCCUGUGAAGACAGACUGAGAGAGUUGGGGUUCUUCAGCCUAGAGUAGAGAAGGCUCCAGAGGGACCUUGUAGCGGCCUUCCAGUACCUGAAGGGGGUCUACAGGGAAGCUGGGGAGGAACUUUUUAUAAAGUAAGGUAGAGAAUAAACUGGAAAAGGGUAGGUUUAGACUAGAUAUUAGGAAGAAACUCUUUACUGUGAGGGUGGUGAGGCACUUGAACAUGUUGCCCAGAGAAGUUGUGGAUGUCUCACCCUGGAAGCAUUCAAGGCCAGCCUGGACAGGGCUUUGAGCAACCAGGUCUAGUGGGAGCUGUCCCUGCCUAUAGAAGGGGGGUUGGAACUAGAUGAUCUUAAAGGUCCUUU